CAGACGAGAUUCUGCAGACUUUAAAGGCAAUACGCCUGAAAUUGAACUCAACCCAUGUAUGAAUUUGUAAUCGUAAUCAAUAAUUGGUUUUUGAGGAUACACACAAUUUACUCUCUACAGGACAAAACCCAGGGGUGUUUUGAUUGAGGUAUAACUCAAUCCUUAAAUGCCGUCUGUGUCCUCCAUAUUUACGUGUCUAAGUUUUGGAUUUAUUUACCUAACCUCGCUAAAAAUACAUACACGCGCGCGCGCGAAUAUAUAUAUAUAUAUGUGUGUGUGUGUGUGUGUGGGGGCGGGGGGGGGGGGGUUACUCUCUACAGGACAAAACCCAGGGGUGUUUUGAUUGAGGUAUAACUCAAUCCUUAAAUGCCGUCUGUGUCCUCCAUAUUUACGUGUCUAAGUUUUGGAUUUAUUUACCUAACCUCGC
rnacentral:lncRNA from 1 species